rnacentral:ncRNA from 2 species
CUAAAGGAUUGGGAAAUGAUGGUGUAAUUCCAUCGCGGUACCGCCACUGUAAAAGCCAGAAAACCAAUCGUUAG